GCGGGAUUGGUUCAGUGGUAGAACGCUACCUUCCCAAGGUAGAGAUGCGAGUUCGAUUCUCGUAUCCCGCU
rnacentral:tRNA from 1 species